UGCAUGUUCGUAUGUUCGUCCUCUCUCUAUGGUUCUGCUUUUUCCCUCUUUCUUUCUCCUCAUCUGUGUGUUUUCUUUAUGUACGGAUAACAGAAGAGAGAUGAGAAAAAAAGAA
rnacentral:ribozyme from 11 species